AGAUUACGGGUAAAUUAACUCGCCGAGCGCUUACUAAGUGGUUAAAAGAUCAAUUGACUCGCCGAACAUUUGUCAGGUGACCAAUGGAGUUUGUUGACUCGCCAACACAGGGUCGGGUCAGAAUACCAGGGCAAUUUAUGAAUUUCCUACUGCUUAAGAGAGAUGGCUUAGGGCUUCAGAGAUGUUCGCUAAAAUGGUGAAGUAUGGAUCUACAAACAGGUUUUAUACAACAGGCAGUAACAUAUAGAUCUACAGAGCAGGCAAAAAUGAAUGAAAAAAGCCUGGAUAAAGGAAAACAGCCUAUGGCUAGGGUGAGAACAGUGAAGCUAAUUUGACGAAAACCUUUCUAGAUCUUUAAACCGAAGCUAGUCAACUAAGAGUAUGGUUGAUGCUACUGUGCCUACUGUUAUCGUCAUGAACUAACCAGCGAUUGUGGAGGCAUUCAAGGUGUUCUAAGAAACCGGCGGGGAUGAACUUUGAGGAACUAAGAUCUGCCUCUAAUGGCGGAGGACUGACCUGG
rnacentral:lncRNA from 1 species